rnacentral:rRNA from 1 species
AUUGAACGCUGGCGGCAGGCCUAACACAUGCAAGUCGAGCGGCAGCGGGAAAGUAGCUUGCUACUUUUGCCGGCGAGCGGCGGACGGGUGAGUAAUGCCUGGGAAAUUGCCCAGUCGAGGGGGAUAACAGUUGGAAACGACUGCUAAUACCGCAUACGCCCUACGGGGGAAAGCAGGGGACCUUCGGGCCUUGCGCGAUUGGAUAUGCCCAGGUGGGAUUAGCUAGUUGGUGAGGUAAUGGCUCACCAAGGCGACGAUCCCUAGCUGGUCUGAGAGGAUGAUCAGCCACACUGGAACUGAGACAGGCCCAGACUCCUACGGGAGGCAGCAGUGGGGAAUCUUGGACAAUGGGCGCAAGCCUGAUCCAGCCACUGCCGCGUGGAUGAUGAAGGCCUUAGGGUGUAAACUGCUUUUGUACGGAACGAAAAGGUCCGGGUUAAUACCCUGGCGUCAUGACGGUACCGUAAGAAUAAGCACCGGCUAACUACGUGCCAG